UGAUGAUCUCAUCACAAACUGGUGUAGGAAAAAAUACUGUCAAUUCGACAAUUUGCGACUACAAAACUGAAGGUAUAAUAAAAUCCCCUAACAAAAAAAAGAUCCGACUGUCUAUCAUACACAAAACUGAUGAUUUUGAGAAAGACGUUGUACGCCAAAAAGUUUAUAGUUUUUGGUUUUGACGUGAGGUGCCUACGAUUGACAAAAUUUUGAAGACCAUAAAUGAUGAUUCAGGCCUAGGAAAUUAUUCACGAAGCACACUUCACCGACUUCUUAAAGAAAUGAAUUUUGUUGAUGCAAAGAGAGGGCGAAACAGUGCUCUGAUCGAAAGGGACGACAUUGUUAGUUGGAGGAAUCGUUACCUGGAACAAAUUCGUAAAUUCCGAAAGGAAGGCCGGUCAAUAUAUUAUUUAGCCGAGACUUGGGUCAAUGCGGGAGAGUGUAUAAAUAAAAC